rnacentral:rRNA from 1 species
GCUUGUCUCAAAGAUUAAGCCAUGCAUGUCUUAGUGUAAAUAACUCUUAUGAAACUGCGAAUGGCUCAUUAAAUCAGUUAUCGUUUAUUUGAUGGUCCCUUACUACAUGGAUAACCGUAGUAAUUCUAGAGCUAAUACAUGCACAAAGGCCCGACUCACGAAGGGCUGUAUUUAUUAGACUUAAGCCAAUAUUCCUUGUGUCUAUUGCGAUGAUUCAUAAUAACUGAUCGAAUCUCAAAUUUGAGAUAAAUCAUUCAAGUUUCUGCCCUAUCAGCUUUCGAUGGUAGUGUAUUGGACUACCAUGGCAGUAACGGGUAACGAAGAAUUAGGGUUCGAUUUCGGAGAGGGAGCAUGAGAAACGGCUACCACAUCUAAGGAAGGCAGCAGG